rnacentral:rRNA from 1 species
ACACAUGCAGUCGACGAUGAAGCCAGCUUGCUGGUGGAUUAGUGGCGAACGGGUGAGUAACACGUGAGUAACCUGCCCUUAACUCUGGGAUAAGCCUGGGAAACUGGGUCUAAUACCGGAUAUGACUCCUCAUCGCAUGGUGGGGGGUGGAAAGCUUUUGUGGUUUUGGAUGGACUCGCGGCCUAUCAGCUUGUUGGUGAGGUAAUGGCUCACCAAGGCGACGACGGGUAGCCGGCCUGAGAGGGUGACCGGCCACACUGGGACUGAGACACGGCCCAGACUCCUACGGGAGGCAGCAGUGGGGAAUAUUGCACAAUGGGCGGAAGCCUGAUGCAGCGACGCCGCGUGAGGGAUGACGGCCUUCGGGUUGUAAACCUCUUUCAGUAGGGAAGAAGCGAAAGUGACGGUACCUGCAGAAGAAGCGCCGGCUAACUACGUGCCAGCAGCCGCGGUAAUACGUAGGGCGCAAGCGUUAUCCGGAAUUAUUGGGCGUAAAGAGCUCGUAGGCGGUUUGUCGCGUCUGCCGUGAAAGUCCGGGGCUCAACUCCGGAUCUGCGGUGGGUACGGGCAGACUAGAGUGAUGUAGGGGGAGACUGUAAUUUCCUGGUGUAGCGGUGAAAUGCGCAGAUAUCAGAGGAACACCGAUGGCGAAGGCAGGUCUCUGGGCAUUAACUGACGCUGAGGAGCGAAGCAUGGGGGGAGCGAACAGGAUUAGAUACCCUGGUAGUCCAUGCCGUAAACGUGGCACUAGGUGUGGGGACAUUCACGUU